rnacentral:rRNA from 1 species
UACUGAGGUCCCAAGCGUUGUUCGGAUUCAUUGGGCGUAAAGGGUGCGUAGGCGGCGGGGUAAGUCGGAUGUGAAAUCUCGGGGCUCAACCUCGAAACUGCAUUCGAUACUGCCUUGCUAGAGUACUGGAGAGGAGAUCGGAAUUUACGGUGUAGCAGUGAAAUGCGUAGAUAUCGUAAGGAAGACCAGUGGCGAAGGCAGAUCUCUGGACAGUUACUGACGCUGAGGCGCGAACGCCAGGGGAGCAAACGGG